UUAAAUGCUGAAAUCAGCAUUAAAGACUUGAUAUUAAGGUUAAGAGAGUUAAGCGUGCUAGGACGGGAGUAGUCCUAGGAUGGGUGACCCCCUGGGAAGUCGGGGCGUCACAGAUA
rnacentral:rRNA from 1 species